UUUGUCAACACCACAGCGAGCUCCCUGCUUCCUCUCUUCACUUAAAGCUGUUUUCUACUUGUCCUCGUCUCCUGCAGAAACUCAUCACAUCCCAGUUUUGACUCCUCACUCUUAAAUAACAGUUUUUAUUAUGCCAUUUUUCAUAAGAACAGCAUUUUCCUCCGCGAUGUGAGAGAAGAACCAUGCACCGCUUGAGGAAUCGUAGCAGGAAGUUCACACACUGAUCUGACUGACUGAACCAUGGAUCCACUGCAGUGGGGGGAUGCCCUGCGAGGACUGCAGAAACAUCUGGACCCAAGUGACGGUGAUGUUAGUAACAGCAUGAGAAACACAUCAAGAACUUAUAAUGGCUGUGACACAUACUGCGAAUACUCAAGAUACCCAGCUGAUGAAGCACACAACCGCAGCAGAGUCAACAUGGCUAAAGAAAAGAAUGACGAAGAGCUCGCAAGAAAGUGUGAAGAGCUCCGAGAGAUACAGCAGAAAAUAAUACUCAAGAAAGCUGCCAUCGCUUUGAAAACUUUGGAGCCAGGCCUCUCCUCCGAUGCUGAAACAAGCAACGGUGAAAGCCUUCGAGACAGAGUCAAUUUCAUUUUGCAGCAGCGGCAAUCUCUCAGCAUUUGGCCAAAGGUCCUGUCACCCGAGAGGAGAAUGAACUCAUCCAAGGAUGAUUUGAUCCUUGAAGAUCAUCCCCUGAAACUGAGAGUGAAGGCAUUAAUGAAGCAGAGAUUUAGUGACCCCCACAUGUUGCCACCAAACACAGAGGUCCCUGAUGUUACACCGCCUCCUCCCAGCCAAAGAGUUACUUCACCAGCCAAGGAGGAGACCAGGGACAUGGGUUUCCAGCGCUUCCUUAGUGUUCUCAACAAAGGAGUGGACAUUGACUUGCUCAGCAGGAUUGUCAAUGAAGAUGGUGAGAAUCUUGCUUUAGGUGAGGAGAUCCUCAACAUUCAGCCCUCUGCUGUGGAGGACAAGUCAGAAAUGGGUGAGAGCUGGGGAUCACACAGCAGAGACUCCCUGCCGGGAUGCAGUGGGACUGACGAUGGAGCGAGAAGGACCAGCUUGCCCAGUAGAGAAAAAUCCCUCAAUGACAGUCCCUCUCUGCGUGGGGAUGAAGAGAAAAAGAAGAAUGAUAAAGGAGAUGGCUCUUUAUGCUCUGGCAGAGGAUCACAGUCUCCUCCAGCAGUAAAAAAGAAGAAGAAGAAGAAAGAGGAAGAACCCCCAAAGGUGGAUGAGCAGCAUGAGCAGCUGCAGAACGUACUUAAAACUCUGGGGUUGAGCCUGGAAGUGGAGGAGAUGAGCAAACUGGCAGACCGGACUCAGGAGAGGCUAUAUGGAAAGAAGCCUGAAGGCAGGGUUGAUGCUGACAGCCGAGUGGAGCAGGAGAGUCGACAGAGAGCCUCCGACAGACAUUGCAGGAGCUCAUCGUCUUCAUCGUCAUCCUCUUCAAGGUUGACAGAGAGGAGCUAUAUCCCAAGCCUCUCACGCCAAUAUCCCUCUCACACCUGGUGCACAGAACAAAAGCGAGAGUCUGAAUGCAGUAACUCAGGAGAUGGCAACCAGGACAGCGAGGAAGCUCAGAGGCCCAGAGACAUAGAUGAAGACAGAGGAGAAGACUCUUCUUAUCUUUAUCAGUAUUUACAAGAACAAGCUUAUUGCAAUGCCCACCCUGCUUCUUUGACAGAAUUUUCAGAUUACACUUUGCCCCAGUGCUCCAGGUACACUGACUAUGAUGGUGCUACCACUAAUUCUUACUCCACAUACACGCAGGGGGUUGUUCCUCCCCCCCUUGAUGUCAGUGGGUAUCCUUAUCCACCGGUCACAGACCAUUACCUUCCUGAAUCGGUAGUAGCACCAAACAUUGUUAACCCUCAUCAUAACCGGCAAAGAAGGAGAUCAGCAUUUAAGGACAAUAACUUGCUUGUGAAUCCGGACUUGUCUACAAGUGAAGGCCAGGCUGGAUCAGCUGGCCAACGCUGCCUGCAGGUCAUCAGCACCAAGUCAACCCCUCAGUACUUCAUAAAGAAGCAUAUAUCAGAGCGAAAGAUAAAUACAGAUAACAGAGGGAUGCGUCAAACGUGGAUUCGACCAGUUCCAGAGGCACCAAGUAGAUAUUCAAAAAAAAGAAGAAUGUCAAGAAAUUUCAACCUAAAAAGAAGAAGGCUUAGAAAAAGGCUUUUAGAAGAAGGUAAUUUAAAAACCGUGCAGCCAAAGGAGGAAAAAAGACUGCCACCGGAGGAGGAAAAAAGACUGCCACCGGAGGAGGGAAAAAGACUGCCACCGGAGGAGGGAAAAAGACUGCCACCGGAGGAGGGAAAAAGACUGCCACCGGAGGAGGAAAAAGACUUCCACCGGAGGAGGAAAAGACUGCCACCGGAGGAGGAAAUAAAGGUGAACCUGAGGAAAAAGGAUUUUCUUUUCCUGUUGUUGUAGCUUGAAGCAUUUAACCAGAGGGUGAAGCGACAAGUCACACAGCCAGCCAACUCCCGAACCCCUCACAAUGAAUCUGUGGAUUAUCAAGACCUUAUAUGAAUGUACCUUGUGUGAUGACAGACCACAUGGACCUCGCGUUUAACACUCGUCAUUUACACAUACUGUUUUUUGUGUCAUGGGACUUUGGGGAUUUGUCAUAUUUCCAGAUUCACGCUGAAUCCUUCUCCAACAAGUGAAUGACAUCUUUGAAGGAAUAUAUUUGUGAAAAUUUUGCCAGUUGGAAAGGCAGUAUUUACUAAUUUCAUCGCUGCAUUUCUGUGUAUAUCUUGACUUUGUUAUUCUGUUUCAUUCUGCUUUUUCUUCUCUUGGUACUGUAUAAACUUGAUGAAGAAAAAUCUGUUCUUCUCUUAUUUCUCUGCCUUAAAGGGAUAGAUAAUGAGUGAGAAAACUCACUCAUUAUCUACUCACCACUAUGUCGAUGGAGGGGUGGGUGAAGUGUUUGAGUCCACAAAACACUUUUAGAUUUUCAGGGGUAAACAGUGUUGCAGCCAAGUCCAAUACAAAUGAACUGCGGACCGAUUCUUCAAACAUAAAAAAAAAAAAAAUCCUCCUCUGGACCCGUGUUCACGUGUGUAUCAGGGAGAACAUUUUUUAGUAGAUGACACCAUUUCGAGUCGAAUGUGAAUGUCAGGUAUUUUGUUUCUGUUUUUUUACGUUUGAAGAAUCGCUCACCAUUUACUUCAUCUGUGUUGGAUUUGGCUGCACCACUGUUUACCCCUGAAGCUCCAAAAGUGUUUUGUGGACUCCUACACUUCACCCACCCCUCCAUCGGCAUAGUGGUGAAUAGACAAUGAGUGAAUUUUCAUUUUUGGAUAAACUAUCCCUUUAACUCAAUUUUUAUUGUAGUCAUGCAUUCACUCAAUAAUGGCUGUUCACACACUGAGUACAGUGUCUAAUAAUGAAAAUGUUGACACAAAUGUUCUUUUUUAUUUUUUUUACAAUAGACGACCUGAUUUUUUUGUGUGGUCAAAAGUGAUCUUGAAUUGUGAUUUUUUUACUGUACAUUUUUUUAAUAAUCACCCAUUAGAGGAUCCCAAUGACUUUGUGACUCUACUUUUAUUCUAGCGCUACCAACAGGUCUGAAUUUCCUUAUGUCUGAGACUUAAUUUCUCAAGAUAAUUCAAAAAGGAAUUUGUUGUUUUGGAGAGGUUUUAGCAUAAUGCUAUAAAUACUGAGAUGCUAAACAUUAAACCUGCUAUAACUAUGA